rnacentral:rRNA from 1 species
GUGGGCAACCUACCCUAUAGUUUGGGAUAACUCCGGGAAACCGGGGCUAAUACCGAAUAAUUUAUUUCAUCUCAUGGUGAAAUACUGAAAGACGGUUUCGGCUGUCGCUAUAGGAUGGGCCCGCGGCGCAUUAGCUAGUUGGUGAGGUAACGGCUCACCAAGGCGACGAUGCGUAGCCGACCUGAGAGGGUGAUCGGCCACACUGGGACUGAGACACGGCCCAGACUCCUACGGGAGGCAGCAGUAGGGAAUCUUCCACAAUGGGCGAAAGCCUGAUGGAGCAACGCCGCGUGAGUGAAGAAGGAUUUCGGUUCGUAAAACUCUGUUGUAAGGGAAGAACAAGUACAGUAGUAACUGGCUGUACCUUGACGGUACCUUAUUAGAAAGCCACGGCUAACUACGUGCCAGCAGCCGCGGUAAUACGUAGGUGGCAAGCGUUGUC